GCGCGGUUAGCUCAGUGGGAGAGCAUCACAUUGACACUGUGGGGGUCGCAAGUUCAAUCCUUGCACCGCGCACCA
rnacentral:tRNA from 1 species